rnacentral:rRNA from 1 species
CGGGUAGCCGGCCUGAGAGGGUGUACGGCCACAUUGGGACUGAGAUACGGCCCAGACUCCUACGGGAGGCAGCAGUGGGGAAUAUUGCACAAUGGGCGCAAGCCUGAUGCAGCGACGCCGCGUGGGGGAUGACGGCCUUCGGGUUGUAAACCGCUUUCGCCUGUGACGAAGCGUGAGUGACGGUAAUGGGUAAAGAAGCACCGGCUAACUACGUGCCAGCAGCCGCGGUAAUACGUAGGGUGCAAGC